ensembl:lncRNA
CCCAUGACAAAAGCUGCUACUCAUGGAGACAGAUGCUCAGCUUAUUAUUAAACUAUUAUACCUAGUAAGAUUUUAAUAGUGGCCUAUACUAAAACCUUUGGAGACGGCCUGCAAAAAGACAUUUUCACGUUGUAUCAAAUGAGCAGUAUCCAUGUUGUGAACAGAGUUUUUCUUUCAAUUGUCCCGGCACACAAGUUGAAAUUCAAAUUUGCAGAGAAAUGGAUCAGCAGCAGCAUUGGUGAUAUUCCUGGGAUGGGGCCCGGCUAGCUCUUGGAAGGCCUCCAUGCUGCCGUUCAUCACUCGCGACCUACCCUUCAGGCCACUCCUCUGUUUCCUCCACUCAGACGCCCGUGCCCCGGUCUCGAUGAAAGUGCUCAAGAGGGCACCGUGAGGACUACUUCGAGCGCGCGACCAGCCAGCUCAUGCCAGCACAGGCGUUUUAUAAGAUUUUGGGGUUUUUCAUUGUUCCACCCAGUUCACCCAGCGGUCCCACAUUGCAGCAGGGACAGCCACGACAGAGUUUUCCCUCCUCUCCUUCUGGCAUCCCCGCUCCCUCUUCCACAAGGAAGCAUUGAUGUGAACCCAUUUUUGUGUGUCAUCAUAGCAAACUCUGCUCCUUGAGACACCAACUGUAGCAGGAACUACCUCAGACAUUUUGGUGUUAUGACUCGCAGUGUCGUGCAGACCAUCCACGAGUUUAGUGCUUUAAAUUUUGAGCCAUCCCUUCAUCAUCAACUACACCAUAAUGUACUUUAGUCUGGGGACGAGAGGAGAAAAUGGAAGGAUAGAUUGGAAACAGAGUGAUCCAUUGACGAUUCGACGUGCUGCAGAUGAACGCGGAAACUUCACUUUGGCUGCAGGCAGGAGGGAGGCACAGGGAUUUCUCAUAUGCACUUGACAGAGUUGGAUUUGUGGACUGAAACACAUUGUCUCCACUGGUCUGAUUGUAACAGAUAUUUGUUUUCAAGUAAAAAGCUUCAGAACAAUGACAUACAUGAAUAUAUUUCAUGUAUGUUUCCAGUAAGUUAUUAUGAAAUUAUAAUUUACUUUGUGGCAGUUUGGAAAAGAUUUCAAUAAUACAAUAAUAUGACCAUAUAUUCUCCUUGAUAUCUCCAUAUUUCCAUUCAUUUCAAUUACAUAGAUAAAAGAUAACACAAACACAAACAGUGGUUAGUCAGUAAAAAUAAAAAUAAAAAAUCAAGUAAUUCCUUUGUUUGAACUGCAUAAGACUCCCUAAUUUCCUUAAAUGCACCACUCAAUAUACUGUAGCAUGCUAUAAUAAAUUUUAUCUUGACUUUUAGAAAGAUAAGUUAGAUACAUGGAGCAAUUACUUGAUACUAUAUCUGUGUGUUUCUGCAGUAGAUCUCACAAAACUUCCUUUGUCCAAUAGAUAUUCAUUCUAAUUUGUGCUGUUCAUCAUAUGCC